AUGAGAAGAGGGACGAGGAGACUAGGAAGGAACCAACUAUUCUACAACUUUGGCAGAUCACUCAUACACGAAAUGGAUCAUGGUCUAAUGAAGAAUCAUAGGCUGUUUAUGACAAUGCACGCAGCCAGAUUAGGGAGAAAGAAGGAGAGAUUGGUGGUCCAAUUUCAAGUGAAGAGCAAAACAAUAUUUUCCAGAAUAGCUACAGAUCUACUAUGGAAAAUACAUCAUUGA
rnacentral:rRNA from 1 species